rnacentral:tRNA from 1 species
GACUCCGUCAUGCGCUGGUUAGUUAAGACACCGCCCUUUCACGGCGGUAACACGGGUUCGAAUCCCGUACGGGUCACCA